AUGGAGGCACGGAGGAGCUCGCCGGCGGCCGCCGCCGUGCCGCUUCCCCCGGACGAUCUCCUCCGGGAGAUCCUGCUCCGCCUCCCGCCGGAGCCGCUCCACCUCUUCCGCGCCUCCUUCGUCUCCAAGCACUGGCGCGGCCUCGUCCACGACGCCCGCUUCCUCCGCCGCUUCCGCGAUUUCCACGGCGGCACGCCUCCCGUGCUCGGCUUCCUCAACCAGAAAGGGCCUCCCUUCUUCGUCCCCACCUCCGGCGGCUUCGCGCUCUCCACUGCUUCGAUGUCCCCCGAUGACUGGUGGGCCUACGACUGCCGGCACGGUCGCGCCCUCUUUUGGAGCUGCCGCACUAGGACGCUGCUCGUCUGGGACCUCGUGACCGGCGACGAGCGCUACCUGCCGUUCCCCGCGCAGGCCUCUCAUGGGUGCUUCGAGUACAAUGCCGCAGUUCUGUGCGCGGCUGGCCACACCGACCACGGCGACUGCCAUUCCUGCCCGUUUCUCGUGGCGUUCGUGUUCAGUCAUCAGUCCAAUUUCAUCACCUCCGCAUGCGUCUUCUCGUCCGAGACCGGUUUCUGGGGUGAGAUCACUUCCAUUGUUAUACCGUAUGCAUUAGUUCAGGCAAAGCCGACGGCUCUGGUUGGAAACACAAUCUACUUCCUGUUGGAUAAUGACAGCAUCAUUGAGUUUGAUUUGGAUAAGCAUAGGUUGGAUUUAGUUGAGGAGGUGCCAUAUGGCUAUGAUCAGAUCAUCAUCAUGCCGACAGAGGAUGGGUGCCUUGGUUUAGCCGCAGUGGAACGAUUCAAUCUGAAUCUGUGGUCAAAGGUGGUGAGCCUUGACGGGGUAGUGACAUGGACACACCAAGGGUCAUUGAUCUCAAAAAGAUUCUUCCCCACGAAGUAG
rnacentral:rRNA from 1 species